ensembl:lncRNA
CGCUGGUUCGGUUUUUUCUUUGGUUGGUUCCGGCCGGAAUGUUCGGAUUCCAGUCGGACGGGUUGUGCUUCCCGCCGUGGAAGGUUUUGAGUGCGGUCACUUGAUUUAGUCCCAAUGGUUAGCAUAGAACGUUGUAGUCUUGACAACCAUAAGAAACCUCCUGGCAGUUAGUCCCCUGAGGGACCUGGCGGAACGUUCUUGAUGUAUUUGAGUAACCUCGAGGCGGUGCCAACAAACUAUUUUUCAGUCGGUUUCCAUUGGGAAUUAUUGCCCCUAUCUUAAACAACUUAAGUUUGAUAUUAAAUACAUACCGAGACGUACGUUGUACAAUAUGCUGAUAAUUUCCGAUGGUUGCGCCGUACUUUUAACCACGAUGACGUUGCGGGACUCUCAUUGCGUACAAAACAGCGUUCUACUUGCGGGCCCAUAUUUGACAUCGGGGAAGGCUGAAAAUCAUUUCAUGGUGGAAGAUAAUUUGACAUUUCUUCAACGGAACCCAGCACCUGAAUAUGGCUGAGUAUAUUUGAUUUAAUAUCAAUACUGCUUAGUGUUCUUUGUUACUUCAGCUUUUGUAUGUUCUAAAUAUCUGCUGUCAUUAAUUGCCACAGAAGUUAAACCCUACCCAAUGGAAUGACGUUAAACAACGACUUUGGUGCAGAGUUACCAACUGGAUGAUAUCAAAGCUAAAAUAAUGGCCGUCAUUCCCACAUGUUACAGUAGAAGAUACUCUAGAACUGUACAAGGUUAAAAAGGUAACAUGUAGUUUGUCCCAAGGUGUCUGCCUCCUCACCCAGAGCAAGACCUCCACCUCCUCACCCAGCGCCAGACCUCCACCUCCUGUCAGAAGUCCUCCAGAACAGCUGAAAGGCGAGGCUGAGAGGCUGGGGACCGGAGGCUUGUGGUGCCAGGGUGGACCGGAGACUGAGGCUGGAGACCAGGGGCCUGCAGCACCGGACCAGAGGAACGUGUUUCUGGAGCGGAGGCGAGCUGGUAGGGCAGCCGUGACUCUGGAGGAGGACCAUCACUCUACCAACAAGGGUUGUAAGUUUGUAUUAACCAAACAAACUGGAAAUAAAGGGCUUAUAAUAAGACAAACUACAUGUUUGUUACCAGACUCGCGGCGUUUGUUCCAGACCAGGACUCUGGCUGAGGAGAGCUGAUGGAGGAGCCAAGACUCUGGAGGACGACAUCACUCCACCAACCAGGAUCCUCACCAGGAAUCUGGAGGACUGAUGGAGAAGCCA